rnacentral:rRNA from 1 species
AGCGAACGCUGGCGGCAGGCCUAACACAUGCAAGUCGAACGAAGUCUUCGGACUUAGUGGCGGACGGGUGAGUAACACGUGGGAACGUGCCUUUAGGUUUGGAAUAACUCAGGGAAACUUGUGCUAAUACCGAAUGUGCCCUUCGGGGGAAAGAUUUAUCGCCUUUAGAGCGGCCCGCGUCUGAUUAGCUAGUUGGUGAGGUAAAGGCUCACCAAGGCUACGAUCAGUAGCUGGUCUGAGAGGAUGACCAGCCACAUUGGGACUGAGACACGGCCCAAACUCCUACGGGGGGCAGCAGUGGGGAAUCUUGCGCAAUGGGCGAAAGCCUGACGCAGCCAUGCCGCGUGGAUGAUGAAGGUCUUAGGAUUGUAAAAUCCUUUCACCGGUGAAGAUAAUGACUGUAGCCGGAGAAGAAGCCCCGGCUAACUUCGUGCCAGCAGCCGCAGUAACAC